rnacentral:rRNA from 1 species
UACAGAGGGGGCAAGCGUUAUUCGGAAUUAUUGGGCGUAAAGGGCGCGUAGGCGGCCUGACAAGUGACGGGUGAAAGCCCUCGGCUCAACCGAGGAACUGCCUGUCAUACUGCCGGGCUUGAGUCCGGGAGAGGUGAGUGGAAUUCCCAGUGUAGCGGUGAAAUGCGUAGAUAUUGGGAGGAACACCAGUGGCGAAGGCGGCUCACUGGACCGGAACUGACGCUGAGGCGCGAAAGCGUGGGGAGCAAACAGG